UUUCUAUAACAAUGACAUCUCUUUUUAUUCUCCAACAAAUCUAUUCUAUCUUCACAGUGUACAAUUACUCACUACUGUAUCUACCAUCUUAUUUUACUAACUACACCAACCAUCAACCAUGCAUUAAGGCUUUUACUACAGUAUUUAUGAACACGAUGAUGUUGCAGUGAAAAUUUAUGACUACGACUAUCACUGACCCCAACAAGAAUCGUCAAGACCAGCCCCAACCACGUAAAUCUCUGCUUAUGUCAUACUAUGCUCUUUUCGAGGAAUAUAAUGCCGCUGCUGAAAAUUCUCCAACCACUGCAAGUUUGAGUCGCAAUAGUGAUAUGAUGUCUUCUCUUGAUGCUUUAGAAGUUAUCACUCAAACUGGAGUUAAUAUUAUAUGUAUAUAUAUCCUUUUGAUUACCAUGUGGCACUACUGAAGCAUGUUCUUCUAUAACACUGUACCCACCAUGAUAACGUAAAAGUAACUUGUGGAAAAUGACUCAAUUAGCUUUAAUAUAACUAUUCCUAAAAUCUA